AAGCUCGUAGUUGAAUUUCGGGAUUAGUACGUCGGUCGUGCCUUAGGUACGUACUGGUGUUACUGGUUCCUACCUUCUGACGAACCAUCAUGUCAUUAAUUUGGUGUGGUGGGGAAUCAGGACUGUUACUUUGAAAAAAUUAGAGUGUUUAAAGCAGGCUCGCGCUUGAAUACAUUAGCAUGGAAUAAUGAAAUAGGACGUUGAUCCUAUUUUGUUGGUCUCUAGGAUUGACGUAAUGAUUAAUAGGGAUAGUUGGG
rnacentral:rRNA from 1 species